rnacentral:rRNA from 1 species
AGCGACGGGCGAUGUGUACAUAUUUUAGAGCUAUAAUCAAAUUAAUGAUCUUUUUAAUUUUACUAUCAAAUCCAAUUUCAAUAAAAUAUUUCAAUUUUAUAUCCAAAAAAUAAAUUUAUUGUAACUCAUUAUUACUUAAAUAUAAACUACACCUUGAUUUGAUAUAUAUUAUAAUUUUAAUUAUUGAAAAUUAUUAUUCUUAUAAAAUAUUCUAUAACAACGGUAUAUAAAUUGAUAAACAAAUUUAAGUGAGGUACAUCGCGGAUUAUCGAUUACAAAACAAGUUCCUCUGAAUAGACUAAAAUACCGCCAAAUUUUUUAAGUUUAAAGAACAUAACUAUUAAUACUCAAGUAUUUAUAAAUUACAUUUUAAAUAAUAGGGUAUCUAAUCCUA